GAUGAACGCUGGCGGCGUGCCUAAUACAUGCAAGUCGAGCGAACAGACGAGGAGCUUGCUCCUCUGACGUUAGCGGCGGACGGGUGAGUAACACGUGGAUAACCUACCUAUAAGACUGGGAUAACUUCGGGAAACCGGAGCUAAUACCGGAUAACAUGUUGAACCGCAUGGUUCAACAGUGAAAUACGGUCUUGCUGUCACUUAUAGAUGGAUCAGCGCCGCAUUAGCUAGUUGGUAAGGUAACGGCUUACCAAGGCAACGAUGCGUAGCCGACCUGAGAGGGUGAUCGGCCACACUGGAACUGAGACACGGUCCAGACUCCUACGGGAGGCAGCAGUAGGGAAUCUUCCGCAAUGGGCGAAAGCCUGACGGAGCAACGCCGCGUGAGUGAAGAAGGUCUUCGGAUCGUAAAACUCUGUUAUUAGGGAAGAACAAAUGUGUAAGUAACUAUGCACGUCUUGACGGUACCUAAUCAGAAAGCCACGGCUAACUACGUG
rnacentral:rRNA from 1 species